ACAGAAAUCUCGUGUGGAACAAAA
rnacentral:ncRNA from 2 species